UACGUAGGGUGCGAGCGUUAAUCGGAAUUACUGGCGUAAAGCGUGCGCAGGCGGCUUUGCAAGACAGAUGUGAAAUCCCCGGGCUUAACCUGGGAACUGCAUUUGUGACUGCAUGGCUGGAGUGCGGCAGAGGGGGAUGGAAUUCCGCGUGUAGCAGGUGAAAUGCGUAGAUAAUGCGGAGGAACACCGAUGGCGAAGGCA
rnacentral:rRNA from 1 species